AUUGAACGCUGGCGGCAGGCCUAACACAUGCAAGUCGAGCGGAGCGGCGGACGGGUGAGUAAUGCCUGGGAAUCUGCCUGGUAGUGGGGGAUAACGUCCGGCAACGGGCGCUAAUACCGCAUCCUAUCAGCUGAGCCUAGGUCGGAUUAGCUAGUUGGUGGGGUAAAGGCCUACCAAGGCGACGAUCCGUACCUGGUCUGAGAGGAUGAUCAGUCAAACGGGAACUGAGAAACGGGCAAGAACCCUACGGGAGGCAGCAGUGGGGAAUAUUGGACAAUGGGCGAAAGCCUGAUGCAGCCAUGCGGCGUGGGGGAAGAAGGUCUUCGGAUUGUAAAGCACUUUAAGUUGGGAGGCGUUACCAACAGAAUAAGCAACGGCUAACUUCGUGCCAGCAGCCGCGGUAAUUC
rnacentral:rRNA from 1 species